rnacentral:rRNA from 1 species
AUUGAACGCUGGCGGCAUGCUUUACACAUGCAAGUCGAACGGUAACAGGCCUUCGGGUGCUGACGAGUGGCGAACGGGUGCGUAAUGCAUCGGAACGUGCCCAGAGGUGGGGGAUAACGCAGCGCAAGCUGUGCUAAUACCGCAUGUGAUCUGAGGAUGAAAGCGGGGGACCAAGCAGCAAUGUUUGGCCUCGCGCCUCUGGAGCGGCCGAUGUCAGAUUAGGUAGUUGGUGGGGUAAAGGCCUACCAAGCCGACGAUCUGUAGCUGGUCUGAGAGGACGACCAGCCACACUGGGACUGAGACACGGCCCAGACUCCUACGGGAGGCAGCAGUGGGGAAUUUUGGACAAUGGGCGCAAGCCUGAUCCAGCAAUGCCGCGUGCGGGAAGAAGGCCUUCGGGUUGUAAACCGCUUUUGUACGGAACGAAAAGGCUCUGGCUAAUACCUGGGGCUGAUGACGGUACCGUAAGAAUAAGCACCGGCUAACUACGUG